AAUAAUUGGUAGUUGGAACCUCUAGUGGCGAAGGUGCGGCGGCGCGACGCGGCCUCGGCCUACUCGGGCGGCGGCGGCGGAGGGAGCAGGACGUCCACGUGCACGCUGCGGGCCCCCCGUGGUGCAUCCACUCCAUCCGUGCCCUCGUGGCUGCCAGCAGAAUACCAGCUCAGGUGACACGAAACAGAUGAUGAGCUUUCCAUGUAAUAUGAAAGAACCAAUGGAAUUUCAACCACCUCCCUAGAACCAAGUCUCAAUCUUGGAAACUGGAUUAUAUUAUGAAAGCUGAGGGCUAGAUGACUGAGGAAGCCUCCUUGAUACGUCUGCUUUUGACAAUGGACAUCGUCAAGAAUUACCAAAAUCGGUCCACAUCAGUGUUGGUUUUCAAUGCGAGUUGAGAAAUGUUUGAUUACUUUGCAAAGGAGGGACAGGAGGAGCAGUAUGGCUGAUAUACUGUGCUUUGAAUGAGCGCAUGUGAUGAGGCCUCCAGUGGCAGAAGUGAGUUGACCAAUUUAAGGAAAACGGGAUAUCAGAAAUGUCUGGACUUGCUUAGCUAGGAGCUACGGAUCCAGCUUGAGCGAAUGGACUGUAGCUUUAGAUGGCAGUGAAGUACAAAAAAAUUAUCCAGAUGCUGUCCAGAACUUCAAUCAACCUGGGGAGUUGCAUGAGCCCAGCAAGUUGCAUCAUGGCAGCCACGCCAGGGCUGAUCACCCUCAAGAGAGCCUACUGGUGCCAUGGCCUGCACAUGAUGAAUAAGGCUUGCUACAGAGUCAGUGUCUGGAAUAAAAGCUGCAUAAAGUUCUUCAGAAUUUCCUCAAGAGAGCCUACUGGUGCCAUGGCCUGGACAUGAUGAAUAAGGCUUGCUACAGAGUCAGUGUCUGGAAUAAAAGCUGCAUAAAGUUCUUCAGAAUUUCCUCAAGAGAGCCUACCGGUGCCAUGGCCUGCACAUGAUGAAUAAGGCUUGCUACAGAGUCAGUGUCUGGAAUUAAAGCUGCAGAAUAAAAGCUGCAUCAAGUUCUUCAAAAUUUCCAAGCUCAAGCAUAAGAGCCCGUGGAUGGAACUCAAAGCAGUGGUGAACAAAAGCUCAAGCAUAAGAGCCCGUGGAUGGAACUUGAAGCAGUGGUGAACAAAAGCUAGAUGGUUGCGCUGGGCAAUGCUGGACAGCAACUACUCAAGAGGUUGCAGGAAGAUGUGUCAAACAACGGAGGUGGUUGUGUGCUGUAAGGAAUGAUUCUUCACCUUGAGGUUGUGGUUCAGAGAACAGGGCAGGUAUGUAUUUCUGCAAGAGGUUCAUUGUAAUUUGAAAGGUCUAGUAUUAUUUAAAAUUUAGUCAAGACCUGUGAAGAUAAAUUCCAUUGAAUUUUUUUUUUUUUUCCCAUAAUGAAUGCUAUUUUUUAGUUUCAUAACUUUUUUGUGAAAGUGAAAAAGUAGGUAGGAAUUAUAAAAAACUGAAAUUUGUUGUAUUGUGUAAUGUAUAUUUAUUUAAAUAAAACCCUGAAUUUUC